rnacentral:rRNA from 1 species
AGAGCGCAGGGAGGAUGCCUUGGCAUCAGGAGCCGAUGAAGGACGCGGUAAGCUGCGAAAAGCUCCGGGGAGUGGCAAGCACACAUUGAUCCGGAGAUGUCCGAAUGGAGCAAUCCACAUGAGUGAAGCUCAUGUAUCAUAUACUGAAUAAAUAGGUAUAUGAGGGGAACCGUCUGAACUGAAACAUCUAAGUAGGACGAGGAAAAGAAAUCAACCGAGAUUCCGCUAGUAGUGGCGAGCGAACGCGGAAGAGGCUAAACCAGAGUCAGCAAUGACUUUGGGGUUUGGACUGCAUUUAGUAUCAAUGAGGUCUAGUCGAAGUACAUGGGAAGGUACAUCGAAGAGGGUGAGAAUCCCGUAGACGAAAGAUCAAGUUGGCGAGCAGUAUCCAGAGUACCGCCGGACACGUGAAACCCGGUGGGAACAUGGGGGGACCAUCCUCCAAGCCUAAAUACUACCUGAUGACCGAUAGCGCAUAGUACUGUGAAGGAAAGGUGAAAAGAACCCCGGGAGGGGAGUGAAAGAGAGCCUGAAACCCUGUGCUUACAAGCACACAGAGCACGUCAAAGUGUGAUGUGGUACCUAUUGUAGAAUGGUCCGGCGAGUUAUUUUAUGCAGCGAGGUUAAGGACUUAAGGUCUGUAGCCGAAGUGAAAGCGAGUGUUAAUAGCACGAAACAGUUGCAUGCAAUAGACCCGAAACCGGGUGACCUAUCCAUGUCCAGGCUGAAGUGAGGGUAAAACCUCAUGGAGGGCCGAACCGACUCCCGUUGAAAUGGUAGCGGAUGAGGUGUGGAUAGCGGAGAAAUUCCAAUCGAACCCGGAUAUAGCUGGUUCUCCCCGAAACCGUUUUAGGACGGGCCUCGUGUGAAGAUUAUCGGAGGUAAAGCACUGAAUAGCCUAGGGGGCGAGAGCCUACCGAAGCUUAUCAAACUCUGAAUGCCGAAUAAUCGUUUCACGGGAGUCAGACUGUGUGAGAUAAGUUUCAUAGUCAAAAGGGAAACAGCCCAGACCCACAGCUAAGGUCCCAAAGUGUAUUUAAGUGGAAAACGAUGUGAAGUUGCGUAGACAACCAGGAUGUUGGCUUAGAAGCAGCCACUCAUUAAAAGAGUGCGUAAUAGCUCACUGGUCGAGUGACUUUGCGCGGAAAAUUUAACGGGGCUAAAAUACACACCGAAGCUUGGGCUUGACGCUUUUGCGUCAGGGGUAGGGGAGCGUCGUGUAAGGGGCGAAGUCGUAUCGUAAGGGACGGUGGACUUUACACGAGUGAGAAUGCCGGAAUGAGUAGCGAGAAUUAUGUGAGAAUCAUAAUGGUCGAAAGCCUAAGGUUUUUGGAGGAAGGUUCGUCCGCUCCAAGUAAGCCGGGAGCUAAGGUCAGGCGGAAACGCGUAGCCGAUGCACAUACGGUUGAAAUUCCGUAGCCUCAGAAAGAUUUAAGCAGAGGGACACUUUGAAAGGACUGUAGCCGGGUGUUGGUUACCCCGGUCGUAAGGGAACGAAAUUAAGUAGUGAAGGCAGUCUGGACGGAGGCGAGAAAAGCUCUGUGUAUAUCUGAUGAGCCCGUACCGCAAACCGACACAGGUAGGUGGGAUGAGAAUUCUAAGACCAACGGGAGAAGGGUAGUUAAGGAACUCGGCAAAUUGUCCCCGUAACUUCGGAAUAAGGGGAGCCUGCGAAAGCAGGCCGCAGAGAAUUGGCCCAGGCGACUGUUUAUCAAAAACACAGCUCUAUGCUAAAUCGAAAGAUGACGUAUAUGGGGUGACACCUGCCCGGUGCUGGAAGGUUAAGAGGAGAUGUGAGAGCAUCGAAUUGAAGCCCCAGUAAACGGCGGCCGUAACUAUAACGGUCCUAAGGUAGCGAAAUUCCUUGUCAGGUAAGUUCUGACCCGCACGAAUGGCGUAAUGAUUUGGGCACUGUCUCAACAGCCCGCCCGGCGAAAUUGUAGUACCGGUGAAGAUGCCGGUUACCCGCGACUAGACGGAAAGACCCCAUGGAGCUUUACUGUAGCUUAAUAUUGGAUUUCGGCAGUUCAUGUACAGGAUAGGUGGGAGACUAUGAAACACGGGCGUCAGCUUGUGCGGAGUCGUCCUUGGGAUACCACUCUUGGAUUGCUGGAAUUCUAACCUGCGGCCCUGAAUCGGGUCGGGGGACAUUGUUAGGUGGGCAGUUUGACUGGGGCGGUCGCCUCCAAAAGAGUAACGGAGGCGCUCAAAGGUUGGCUCAGCA